UUAAGCGACUAAGCGUACACGGUGGAUGCCCUGGCAGUCAGAGGCGAUGAAGGACGUGCUAAUCUGCGAUAAGCGUCGGUAAGGUGAUAUGAACCGUUAUAACCGGCGAUUUCCGAAUGGGGAAACCCAGUGUGAUUCGUCACACUAUCAUUAACUGAAUCCAUAGGUUAAUGAGGCGAACCGGGGGAACUGAAACAUCUAAGUACCCCGAGGAAAAGAAAUCAACCGAGAUUCCCCCAGUAGCGGCGAGCGAACGGGGAGGAGCCCAGAGCCUGAAUCAGUGUGUGUGUUAGUGGAAGCGUCUGGAAAGGCGCGCGAUACAGGGUGACAGCCCCGUACACAAAAAUGCACAUACUGUGAGCUCGAUGAGUAGGGCGGGACACGUGGUAUCCUGUCUGAAUAUGGGGGGACCAUCCUCCAAGGCUAAAUACUCCUGACUGACCGAUAGUGAACCAGUACCGUGAGGGAAAGGCGAAAAGAACCCCGGCGAGGGGAGUGAAAAAGAACCUGAAACCGUGUACGUACAAGCAGUGGGAGCCUCUUUUAUGGGGUGACUGCGUACCUUUUGUAUAAUGGGUCAGCGACUUAUAUUCUGUAGCAAGGUUAACCGAAUAGGGGAGCCGAAGGGAAACCGAGUCUUAACCGGGCGUUAAGUUGCAGGGUAUAGACCCGAAACCCGGUGAUCUAGCCAUGGGCAGGUUGAAGGUUGGGUAACACUAACUGGAGGACCGAACCGACUAAUGUUGAAAAAUUAGCGGAUGACUUGUGGCUGGGGGUGAAAGGCCAAUCAAACCGGGAGAUAGCUGGUUCUCCCCGAAAGCUAUUUAGGUAGCGCCUCGUGAAUUCAUCUCCGGGGGUAGAGCACUGUUUCGGCAAGGGGGUCAUCCCGACUUACCAACCCGAUGCAAACUGCGAAUACCGGAGAAUGUUAUCACGGGAGACACACGGCGGGUGCUAACGUCCGUCGUGAAGAGGGAAACAACCCAGACCGCCAGCUAAGGUCCCAAAGUCAUGGUUAAGUGGGAAACGAUGUGGGAAGGCCCAGACAGCCAGGAUGUUGGCUUAGAAGCAGCCAUCAUUUAAAGAAAGCGUAAUAGCUCACUGGUCGAGUCGGCCUGCGCGGAAGAUGUAACGGGGCUAAACCAUGCACCGAAGCUGCGGCAGCGACACUGUGUGUUGUUGGGUAGGGGAGCGUUCUGUAAGCCUGUGAAGGUGUACUGUGAGGUAUGCUGGAGGUAUCAGAAGUGCGAAUGCUGACAUAAGUAACGAUAAAGCGGGUGAAAAGCCCGCUCGCCGGAAGACCAAGGGUUCCUGUCCAACGUUAAUCGGGGCAGGGUGAGUCGACCCCUAAGGCGAGGCCGAAAGGCGUAGUCGAUGGGAAACAGGUUAAUAUUCCUGUACUUGGUGUUACUGCGAAGGGGGGACGGAGAAGGCUAUGUUGGCCGGGCGACGGUUGUCCCGGUUUAAGCGUGUAGGCUGGUUUUCCAGGCAAAUCCGGAAAAUCAAGGCUGAGGCGUGAUGACGAGGCACUACGGUGCUGAAGCAACAAAUGCCCUGCUUCCAGGAAAAGCCUCUAAGCAUCAGGUAACAUCAAAUCGUACCCCAAACCGACACAGGUGGUCAGGUAGAGAAUACCAAGGCGCUUGAGAGAACUCGGGUGAAGGAACUAGGCAAAAUGGUGCCGUAACUUCGGGAGAAGGCACGCUGAUAUGUAGGUGAAGUCCCUCGCGGAUGGAGCUGAAAUCAGUCGAAGAUACCAGCUGGCUGCAACUGUUUAUUAAAAACACAGCACUGUGCAAACACGAAAGUGGACGUAUACGGUGUGACGCCUGCCCGGUGCCGGAAGGUUAAUUGAUGGGGUCAGCGCAAGCGAAGCUCUUGAUCGAAGCCCCGGUAAACGGCGGCCGUAACUAUAACGGUCCUAAGGUAGCGAAAUUCCUUGUCGGGUAAGUUCCGACCUGCACGAAUGGCGUAAUGAUGGCCAGGCUGUCUCCACCCGAGACUCAGUGAAAUUGAACUCGCUGUGAAGAUGCAGUGUACCCGCGGCAAGACGGAAAGACCCCGUGAACCUUUACUAUAGCUUGACACUGAACAUUGAGCCUUGAUGUGUAGGAUAGGUGGGAGGCUUUGAAGUGUGGACGCCAGUCUGCAUGGAGCCGACCUUGAAAUACCACCCUUUAAUGUUUGAUGUUCUAACGUGGACCCGUGAUCCGGGUUGCGGACAGUGUAUGGUGGGUAGUUUGACUGGGGCGGUCUCCUCCUAAAGAGUAACGGAGGAGCACGAAGGUUGGCUAAUCCUGGUCGGACAUCAGGAGGUUAGUGCAAUGGCAUAAGCCAGCUUGACUGCGAGCGUGACGGCGCGAGCAGGUGCGAAAGCAGGUCAUAGUGAUCCGGUGGUUCUGAAUGGAAGGGCCAUCGCUCAACGGAUAAAAGGUACUCCGGGGAUAACAGGCUGAUACCGCCCAAGAGUUCAUAUCGACGGCGGUGUUUGGCACCUCGAUGUCGGCUCAUCACAUCCUGGGGCUGAAGUAGGUCCCAAGGGUAUGGCUGUUCGCCAUUUAAAGUGGUACGCGAGCUGGGUUUAGAACGUCGUGAGACAGUUCGGUCCCUAUCUGCCGUGGGCGCUGGAGAACUGAGGGGGGCUGCUCCUAGUACGAGAGGACCGGAGUGGACGCAUCACUGGUGUUCGGGUUGUCAUGCCAAUGGCACUGCCCGGUAGCUAAAUGCGGAAGAGAUAAGUGCUGAAAGCAUCUAAGCACGAAACUUGCCCCGAGAUGAGUUCUCCCUGACCCUUUAAGGGUCCUGAAGGAACGUUGAAGACGACGACGUUGAUAGGCCGGGUGUGUAAGCGCAGCGAUGCGUUGAGCUAACCGGUACUAAUGAACCGUGAGGCUUAACCUU
rnacentral:rRNA from 1 species